rnacentral:rRNA from 1 species
GGUGAUACUACCUAAGAUAUGAUACCUCUUAUGUGAACCUUUAGUCUGAGUGAAAAUGCUCAGGUUCUAACCUUAGACAAAAAGACCCUAUGAAGCUUACAGCCUCCCUACCACAUAAAUUUCUUGCUGUUUCUUUGGGGAAAAGCACAAUAAUACUAUUUCUAUGCGUAAGAUCCUUAUAAGAAUUACGAAAAAGCUCCUCUAGGGAUAACAGCGCAAUACCAUUUU